AUGGAAAGGAUGGCAAGCUCAUACUUUAAAGAGGUUUUUACUAAGGAUCCUACAUUGGAUCCGACCGAGGUACUGGAUACUAUCACCCCUAAAGUCUCGAUGGAGAUGAAUGAGGCUUUAUGCAGAGCGUACACGGAGGAGGAAAUAUCCAAUGCGCUGUUUCAGAUUGGCCCGUUGAAAGCCCCGGGAUGUGAUGGUUUUCCGGCCAGGUUUUACCAACGGAACUGGGAUACUCUUAAGGUGGAAAUCGUGGCAGCGGUGCAGGAGUUCUUUACCAGUGGUGUCAUGCCGGAUGGUGUUAAUGACAUGACCAUUGUGCUAAUUCCCAAAGUGCCACAUCCACGAGAGCUCAAGGAUUUUAGACCCAUUAGCUUAUGCAAUGUGGUGUAUAAAAUUGUCUCCAAGGCAUGGUAA
rnacentral:rRNA from 1 species